AAGGGAUGAAGGCCUCUGGGCUGUAAACCUCUUUUCUCAAGGAAGAAGAUCUGACGGUACUUGAGGAAUAAGCCACGGCUAAUUCCGUGCCAGCAGCCGCGGUAAUACGGGAGUGGCAAGCGUUAUCCGGAAUUAUUGGGCGUAAAGCGUCCGCAGGCGGCCCUUCAAGUCUGCUGUUAAAACGUGGAGCUUAACUCCAUCAUGGCAGUGGAAACUGUUGGGCUCGAGUGUGGUAGGGGCAGAGGGAAUUCCCGGUGUAGCGGUGAAAUGCGUAGAUAUCGGGAAGAACACCAGUGGCGAAGGCGCUCUGCUGGGCCAUAACUGACGCUCAUGGACGAAAGCCAGGGGAGCGAAAGGGAUUAGAUACCCCUGUAGUCCUGGCCGUAAACGAUGAACACUAGGUGUCGGGGGAAUCGACCC
rnacentral:rRNA from 1 species